rnacentral:lncRNA from 1 species
AGCGAUGAAUAAAAAUGUCCAGAGAAUUUGCACGUAAGCCCAGAACAUUACUAGAGAUAGAUCAUUGGAAGGCAACAGAGUUCCGAUAAAUCUACCAGCUGACAGCUUGUAAAAAAUGUACAGGAAGAAUUGGCACUUUCAGAAUCAAGAAUAACAACGAAAACUCUAUUGAAAGAAGCUGAAUAAUGCAUUUAAAACCAGC